rnacentral:rRNA from 1 species
AUUGAACGCUGGCGGCAGGCCUAACACAUGCAAUUCGAACGAGUGGCGGACGGGUGAGUAAUGUCUGGGAAACUGCCCGAUGGACGGGGAUAACUACUGGAAACGGUAGCUAAUACCGCAUACCAUCGGAUGUGCCCAGAUGGGAUUAGCUAGUAGGUGGGGUAAUGGCUCACCUAGGCAACGAUCCCUAGCUGGUCUGAGAGGAUGACCAGCGAAACUGGAACUGAGACACGGACCAGACGCCUACGGGAGGCAGGAGUGGGGAAUAGAGCACAAUGGGCGAAAGAAUGAUGCAGCAAUGCCGCGUGUAUGAAGAAGGCCUUCGGGUGGAAAAGUACUUUCAGCGAGGAGGAGUUACUCGCAGAAGAAGCACAGGCUAACUCCGUGCCAGCAGCCGCGGUAAUAC